UGAGUAACACGUAUCCAACCUGCCGUCUACUCUUGGACAGCCUUCUGAAAGGAAGAUUAAUACAAGAUGGCAUCAUGAGUCCGCAUGUUCACAUGAUUAAAGGUAUUCCGGUAGACGAUGGGGAUGCGUUCCAUUAGAUAGUAGGCGGGGUAACGGCCCACCUAGUCUUCGAUGGAUAGGGGUUCUGAGAGGAAGGUCCCCCACAUUGGAACUGAGACGCGGUCCAA
rnacentral:rRNA from 1 species